UACGGGGGGGCACAGUGUUGUGAAUUACUGGGCGUAAAGGCCAGUAGGCGGCCAACUAAGUCGGAUGUGAAAUCCCCAGGCUCAACCUGGGAACUGCAUCCGAUACUGGAUGGCUUGAAUUCGGGAGAGGGAUGCAGAAUUCCAGGUGUAGCGGUGAAAUGCGUAGAUAUCUGGAGGAAUACCGGUGGCGAAGGCGGCAUCCUGGACCGACAUUGACGCUGAACGGCGAAAGCUAGGGGAGCAAACGGG
rnacentral:rRNA from 1 species